AGAGUUUGAUCCUGGCUCAGGACGAACGCUGGCGGCGUGCCUAACACAUGCAAGUCGAGCGAAGUGCUUGGAGAUGAUUUUUUCGGAAUGAUUCACCAAGUAUCUUAGCGGCGGACGGGUGAGUAACGCGUGAGAAACCUGCCUUUCACAAAGGGAUAGCCUCGGGAAACUGGGAUUAAUACCUUAUGAAACUGUAUUACCGCAUGGUAGAACAGUCAAAGCGCUUAAGCGGUGAGAGAUGGUCUCGCGUCCCAUUAGCUAGUUGGUGAGAUAAAAGCCCACCAAGGCGACGAUGGGUAGCCGGCCUGAGAGGGUGACCGGCCACACUGGAACUGAGACACGGUCCAGACUCCUACGGGAGGCAGCAGUGGGGAAUAUUGCACAAUGGAGGGAACUCUGAUGCAGCGACGCCGCGUGAGUGAUGAAGGCUUUCGAGUCGUAAAACUCUGUCCUUGGGGACGAUAAUGACGGUACCCAAGGAGGAAGCCCCGGCUAACUACGUGCCAGCAGCCGCGGUAAUACGUAGGGGGCGAGCGUUGUCCGGAAUUAUUGGGCGUAAAGGGUUCGCAGGCGGCCGAUUAAGUCAGAUGUGAAAUCCCACGGCUUAACCGUGGUAAGCAUUUGAAACUGAUUGGCUUGAGUUAAGGAGAGGAAAGUGGAAUUCCUAGUGUAGCGGUGAAAUGCGUAGAUAUUAGGAGGAAUACCAGUGGCGAAGGCGACUUUCUGGACUUAUACUGACGCUGAGGAACGAAAGCGUGGGGAGCAAACAGGAUUAGAUACCCUGGUAGUCCACGCCGUAAACGAUGAGUGCUAGGUGUCGGGGGUCAAACCUCGGUGCCGGAGCAAACGCAUUAAGCACUCCGCCUGGGGAGUACGUGCGCAAGCAUGAAACUCAAAGGAAUUGACGGGGACCCG
rnacentral:rRNA from 1 species